CGAACGGGUGAGUAACACGUGAGAAACCUGCCUUUCACAAAGGGAUAGCUUCGGGAAACCGGAAUUAAUACCUUAUGACACAUAAGUAUCGCAUGAUAAAUAUGUUAAAGAAUUUCGGUGAAAGAUGGUCUCGCGUCUGAUUAGCUAGAUGGUGGGGUAAUGGCCUACCAUGGCGAUGAUCAGUAGCCGGAUUGAGAGGUUGAACGGCCACACUGGAACUGAGACACGGUCCAGACUCC
rnacentral:rRNA from 1 species